rnacentral:rRNA from 1 species
UACGUAGGGGGCAAGCGUUGUCCGGAAUUAUUGGGCGUAAAGAGCGUGUAGGCGGUCCGGUAAGUCAGCUGUGAAAGUCAAGGGCUCAACCCUUGAAAGCCGGUUGAUACUGUCGGGCUAGAGUCCGGAAGAGGCGAGUGGAAUUCCCGGUGUAGCGGUGAAAUGCGCAGAUAUCGGGAGGAACACCAAUGGCGAAGGCAGCUCGCUGAGACGGUACUGACGCUGAGACGCGAAAGCGUGGGGAGCAAACAGG